GAUGAACGCUGGCGGCGUGCCUAAUACAUGCAAGUCGAGCGAACAGACGAGGAGCUUGCUCCUUUGACGUUAGCGGCGGACGGGUGAGUAACACGUGGGUAACCUACCUAUAAGACUGGGAUAACUUCGGGAAACCGGAGCUAAUACCGGAUAAUAUUUCGAACCGCAUGGUUCGAUAGUGAAAGAUGGCUCUGCUAUCACUUAUAGAUGGACCUGCGCCGUAUUAGCUAGUUGGUAAGGUAACGGCUUACCAAGGCAACGAUACGUAGCCGACCUGAGAGGGUGAUCGGCCACACUGGAACUGAGACACGGUCCAGACUCCUACGGGAGGCAGCAGUAGGGAAUCUGCCGCAAUGGGCGAAAGCCUGACGGAGCAACGCCGCGUGAGUGAUGAAGGUCUUCGGAUCGUAAAACUCUGUUAUUAGGGAAGAACAAACGUGUAAGUAACUGUGCACGUCUUGACGGUACCUAAUCAGAAAGCCACGGCUAACUACGUG
rnacentral:rRNA from 1 species